AUACACAGUACAACUGUUAAUUCUGUAAGU
rnacentral:piRNA from 1 species